AUUACGGUACGGUUCAUCGUCUUGUUUGUCUCUCAAUUGAGUCAUCGUCUUUGAGAAUUGUGCUACCGUUGUUUACCAAUCGUCCGCUAGUCUGAAGACAAAGAGCAGGAAAAGGUUUGUUAAGGAAGAAAACUAGAUUUUGAGUUCGUUCACCAACCCACUUGAGAUCAUUUUCUUGCACCCGGAGGGUGUAACAUAUGUAGAUGACAGCCGUUUCAGGGGGCUGGAAAGAACCGAGAAAACCAUUGACAUAGGG